rnacentral:tRNA from 1 species
GUAGAUGUAGCUCAGCUGUAGAGUAUUUGCCUAGCACGCAUGAGGUCCUGGAUUCAAUUUCCAACACCACA